AGCUUAGGCACGGUUCAGAUCCAGGGUUGGUUCCGGGUCUCAAGCUCGCCUCCGAGGAAGACGACCAACGGGCUGCAAACUCCUGCUCCACUUCGCCAGAUUUCUCCCCCGAACCCAUCUCAUCUCCCUCUCGGUCGGUCGCGUUCGUUAUCCGAUCGUCCUCGUGGUUUUCGCGGAGUUUUUGUUGGCUUCUGUGGUGGUUCCCGCUGGAGAAAUUCGGAUCUCGGUUCUUCACCGAUCGAACCCGAGGACAUCAGGCGUCUCCCUGUUCUUUCGAUGAAUCGGGUCCAGUUUGUUCGGAUCCACUGGAGAGGGUGAAAAAAAAGGAUAAAGGUGUCUCAUGGACGGUACAAUUUUAUCUUUUGCAAGGACUAACAGAUUUGUUGGCACUCGUACCAUUGACCAUUCCCUGGGACUUUGUGCUCUUAAUUUAUCAAGAUAUAACAUAUGCUAUUUGCCUAAAGGUACUUGUACCUCCUGUUUU